AGAGAUUCUGUCAUUGUUUGCUGUAUAAACUCCUGCACCAGUAUGUUUGCUGGGAUCGUCAUAUUUUCCAUUGUGGGCUUCAUGUCAUACAUCACAAAGAGACCCAUUGAAGAACUGGCUGCUUCAGUUUUGUACAGUGGAAGGCUUCAUAACUGCUCUAAUGGAUGAAUAUCCCACAGUCCUGAGGAAGAGAAAUAAACUCUUCAUCCUCAUUGUCUGUAUUAUAUCCUUUGUUAUCGGUUUCUCCAACAUCACACAGGGCGGCUUAUAUGUGUUCAAAUUGUUUGACUACUACUCGGCCAGUGGAAUGUGUCUCCUGUUCCUGGUCUUCUUUGAGACAAUCUCCAUUUCCUGGUUCUAUGGUAU